rnacentral:rRNA from 1 species
ACUGCUAUCGGAUUGAUACUAAGCCAUGCGAGUCUUUGUAGCAUUACAAGGCGGACGGCUCAGUAACACGUAGUCAAUCUAACCUAUGGACGAGGAUAACCUCGGGAAACUGAGAAUAAUACUCGAUAGAUCAUUAUACCUGGAAUGGUUUAUGGUCCAAAUGAAUUUCGCCAUAGGGUGGGACUGCGGUCUAUCAGCUUGUUGGUGAGGUAAUGGCCCACCAAGGCUAUAACAGAUACGGGCUCUGAGAGGAGAGGCCCGGAGAUGGGUACUGAGACACGGACCCAGGCCCUAUGGGGCGCAGCAGGCGAGAAAACUUUGCAAUGUGCGAAAGCACGACAAGGUUAAUCCGAGUGGUUCCUGCUAAAGGAAUCUUUUGUUAGUCGUAACACCACUGAUGAAUAAGGGGUGGGCAAGUUCUGGUGUCUGCCGCCGCGGUAAAACCAGCACCUCAAGUGGUCAGGAGGAUUAUUGGGCCUAAAGCAUCCGUAGCCGGCUUUGUUAGUUUUCGGUUAAAUCUAUAUGCUCAACAUAUGGGCUGCCGGGAAUACUGCAAAGCUAGGGAGUGGGAGAGGUAGACGGUACUCCGUAGGAAGGGGUAAAAUCCUUUGAUCUAUGGAUGACCACCUGUGGCGAAGGCGGUCUACCAGAACACGUCCGACGGUGAGGGAUGAAAGCUGGGGGAGCAAACCGGAUUAGAUACCCGGGUAGUCCCAGCUGUAAACUAUGCAAACUCAGUGAUGCAUUGGCUUGUGGCCAGUGCAGUGCCGCAGGGAAGCCGUUAAGUUUGCCGCCUGGGAAGUACGUACGCAAGUAUGAAACUUAAAGGAAUUGGCGGGGGAGCACCACAAGGGGUGAAG